GACGAACGCUGGCGGCGUGCCUAAUACAUGCAAGUCGAGCGCAGGAAAUCGACGGAACCCUUCGGGGGGAAGUCGACGGAAUGAGCGGCGGACGGGUGAGUAACACGUAAAGAACCUGCCCUCAGGUCUGGGAUAACCACGAGAAAUCGGGGCUAAUACCGGAUGGGUCAUCGGACCGCAUGGUCCGAGGAUGAAAGGCGCUUCGGCGUCGGCUGGGGAUGGCUUUGCGGUGCAUUAGCUAGUUGGUGGGGUAAUGGCCCACCGAGGCGACGAUGCAUAGCCGACCUGAGAGGGUGAUCGGCCACACUGGGACUGAGACACGGCCCAGACUCCUACGGGAGGCAGCAGUAGGGAAUCUUCCACAAUGGACGAAAGUCUGAUGGAGCAACGCCGCGCGAACGAUGAAGGCCUUCGGGUCGUAAAGUUCUGUUGUAAGGGAAGAACAAGUGCCGCAGGCAAUGGCGGCACCUUGACGGUACCUUGCGAGAAAGCCACGGCUAACUACGUGCCAGCAGCCGCCGUAA
rnacentral:rRNA from 1 species